GCAGAAGUUUGGAGAGAGACAAAAUGGAGCAUCAUUUCCAAACGUGCUGCUAUUGAAUUCAGAUCACCCCGUGAUCAAUUUGAUCAAUUAUUAACUUAUUAACGUUUACUAAUACCUAAAGUUGGAUUACAAAAGUAGUUUGAAGUGUUUCGUCAAAGUUUAUAGGCAACUUUUUCCAUGGAUCAGACGGGCUUCAUAAAUGGACAUUUUGGGUAUACAUGGACGGAUUUAAUCGAAAAAAAUACCCAAUUGUGAUGUUUAUGGGACAUAUAGGAGUGCCAACAAAGAAGCUCGUCAAAGGGACAGCAGCCGUAAAACAAAACAAAGGAGCUGAUUUGUGCACUUCAGAAGACAACAGAGGACGGAACUGCCGCAUUGGAGAUGGUGAAAAGCUUCAAGUUCCUCGGAGUACAGAUCACUGACAUUCUGAAAUGGUCCACACACACAGACAGUGUAGUGAAGAAGGUGCAACAGCACCUCUUCCACCUCAGGAGGCUGACGAAAUUUGUCUUGGCCCCGAAGAACCUCACAAAUGUUUACAGAUGCACAAUUAAAAGCAUCCAGUUGGGCUGUAUCGCCGCGUGGUACAGCAACUGCACCGCCCGCAACCAAAGGGCUCUCCAAGGGGUGGUGCGGUCUGCCCAGCGCAUCACUGGGGGCACACUGCUUGCCCUCCAGGACACCUAUAGCACCCAAUUCACAGGAAGUCCAAAAAGAUCAUCAAGGCCACCCGUGCCACAGCCUGUUCACCCCACUAUCAUUCAGAAGGCGAGGGAUCAUCUCUACCAUAUCUUUAUCCAACGUCUGUGAGCUAAAG
ensembl:lncRNA